rnacentral:rRNA from 1 species
UGGGGAAUUUUGGACAAUGGGGGCAACCCUGAUCCAGCCAUGCCGCGUGUGUGAAGAAGGCCUUCGGGUUGUAAAGCACUUUCGGACGGAACGAAAUCGCGCGUCCUAACACGAUGCGUGGAUGACGGUACCGUAAGAAGAAGCACCGGCUAACUACGUGCCAGCAGCCGCGGUAAUACGUAGGGUGCGAGCGUUAAUCGGAAUUACUGGGCGUAAAGGGUGCGCAGGCGGUUUCGCAAGUCAGGCGUGAAAGCCCCGGGCUUAACCUGGGAAUGGCGCUUGAAACUACGGGACUGGAGUAUGGCAGAGGGAGGUGGAAUUCCACGUGUAGCGGUGAAAUGCGUAGAGAUGUGGAGGAACACCGAUGGCGAAGGCAGCCUCCUGGGCCAAUACUGACGCU